rnacentral:rRNA from 1 species
UAGGGAAUCUUCCGCAAUGGACGCAAGUCUGACGGAGCAACGCCGCGUGAGUGAAGAAGGAUUUCGGUUCGUAAAACUCUGUUGUUAGAGAAGAACAGCGCAUAGAGUAACUGUUAUGCGUGUGACGGUAUCUAACCAGAAAGCCACGGCUAACUACGUGCCAGCAGCCGCGGUAAUACGUAGGUGGCAAGCGUUGUCCGGAUUUAUUGGGCGUAAAGCGAGCGCAGGCGGUCAAUUAAGUCUGAUGUGAAAGCCCCCGGCUCAACCGGGGAGGGUCAUUGGAAUCUGGUUGACUUGAGUGCAGAAGAGGAGAGUGGAAUUCCAUGUGUAGCGGUGAAAUGCGUAGAUAUAUGGAGGAACACCAGUGGCGAAGGCGACUCUCUGGUCUGUAACUGACGCUGAGGCUCGAAAGCGUGGGGAGCGAACAGG